rnacentral:lncRNA from 1 species
UUGUUUACUCAGUGACAUCUCAUUCUUAAAUUUUUCAAGGGGAAAAUAUAAAGGUAGCAAAAUUAUUGUCGUGGCUAAAUAACUCUUAACUGACACAAUUUCAAUUGUCCAACUCAUUAACAGACUUUAUUCCCAUAAUUUUCACUAAAACGUGGUAUUAUUCACGUAAUUUUACAAUUAUGAAAUAUUUACUAAUGUCAAUUUAUUUUUUAGAACCACAGUUCUAUUUUUAGUCCUUUAAAUGAUAUCUAAAUUUGUUUGUUUCGCCUUUUAUUAAAAAAGUUGCUAUGCGUAUAAGCAUAAAUACUACAUACUUGCGCGACGCCUUUUAGUUUUACUGAAAACUGCGCAGACUAAGAAAUGUUUUUACAAGUGCAAAAUGUUCUAUGAUAGAUAUCAUUUUGUCAGACACUUUUCUUUUUUUGAUUUGGUUCUUAUAACAUGCCAAAAAUCUGUAUAUUUAAUAGAGUUUAACAUUAAAUUAAGCGUUUUACUCUUAACAGACGUAUAACCAACCCGAUUAACAGACCAAUCGCCCAUAUAGCCGCA